rnacentral:tRNA from 1 species
GCACUGGUGGUUCAGUGAUAGAAUACUUGCCUUCCAUGUUGAAGACCUGGGUUCAAUUCUGGCCAAUGCA